GCAGAAGUGGUGGAAUUGGUAGACACGCUACCUUGAGGGGGUAGUGCUCUUACGGGCGUGCGGGUUCAAGUCCCGCCUUCUGCACCA
rnacentral:tRNA from 12 species